CUUACUUUUAUUCUUUUUCUUACUCUUCACUUUCUUCCGCUAUUCUCUGCCUUCUUUCUUUACUUGAGGUCUACACUCAGAGAUGAGAGAUCACUCUCUCUCUAUCUGGACUUCAAAGCCAUACGGCUAUAGCUCUCGAGCUUUUUCCUGGCUCACUAACAUGUAGCGACUCACUCGUCUCUAAACCUUUAUCUCUGACCUUUUGGCUCUGAACAUCUAACUCUAGUACACUUUACUAUUUUCACAUCAACUGAUAUUCUAUACACAUUAGAACACUCAAAAGUGAG
rnacentral:lncRNA from 1 species